UGUGAAUGCAAAACACACUGAAGAGACUGCAGCCGGCGCGCACCUCCUUGUACAGCUUACGGUGACAUCAUCACAAGCAUGUGUGACAUCACAGGGUUCUAAACCAUCUUCAGACAAACAGUAAGAGCCCUACCAGUAGGUGAACUUAUACGAAUUAAGCGGAACAGUUCUUCCGCCGAGAUGUACCGCAGGGAAGCUGAUGCAGCAUGCACACGCCUGGCGGCUCGAGGGGACCCUGGAUGGCUCUUGAAAAAAGCUCGGUCGAGAGUGGAUCAUAUGGAUCGAAAAUCCCUUUUAACAAAUCCCACGGUAGGGGAGAUUAUAAAGUCAGGUGUGAGAUUUGCAGCGAGGCGGGCACCUACUCUAUCCAAUCUCCUUGUUCCCAGUAUGGUGGACACGGCUAGUGUUACCACCCAGUGGAUUAGCA